rnacentral:miRNA from 1 species
UUCGAGACUAAUGUUGGU